AUGGACGCCGCGGAGAUCGCGGAGAAGGUCCGCGCCCUCGAGGCCGCGCUCGCCGCCAAGGCCUCCCGCAUCUCUGACCUGGAGGCUAGGGUCUCCCUCCUCGAAGCCGAGAACACGCGCUUCAGGAAGGCCGCGCCCAAUGUACAGGCAAUGGAUCAUUCAGGCGACCAGGGCCCAACCUUCGGCCGAUUGGACGAGGGUUUCGGCGGAAACAAGCAAAACUCAGCGGGAGGCCAUCCGGUAAAUGGUUCUACAGAGGUCAGUGACCGCGGGCCAGAGGGGAUGGCUGUUGGCGUCGCCAUUAGGAGUAGCGCGGAGGAGAGCCUUCUUGCUGUCCCGGCUCCUUGGGAGCGCACAGUGCCGCCGGUGAUUGGCGAGAGCGGCGGCGAAGACGAGAUCGAGGAUGCUGAUGUGGGUCUUGAAGACGAUGAUGUUCCGAUUAUGCCACGAGGCAACAAGCGUAAAGCGAUGAUUGCCAGCGAUAGCGACGACGAGGACUGGAAUGACAAGGAUGGUAAAGUGCAGGAGGGGUUGGGUGUUACACCCGGUGGAAAGCGUUUGUUAAGUGGACUCAGUGAUGAUGAAGAUGAUGCUGAGGAUGUUUGUGUGGUUAGGCCAGAGCAUGUGCCAUGUGCAGCUGAGACAGGGAUUGAAGAUGAGGAGGACGAGGACGGGGAUGAUAGAAUCGUCAUUCGUGAAGUGGUUCAGACGACGAAGGACGAGAGGGGCAGUAGAGAUGAUGGUGAAUUGGGUGAAGAGUAUGUGGAGAGUGAGGAUGAUUCAGCAGAAGCCAGUAGUAUGGAUGGAUUUAUAGAUGAUGAGGAUUGUUCAGAAAAUUAUAAUGAAGAGCCUGUUGAGCCAGAAGAGUCUGACGGUGACAUGAACUAUAAAGAUGUUAUGGAUGCGAUACGUCGCAAAAGGAAUGCUAAUGGUAAGGGGUGGGACUACGAGGCAGAGAUGCUCUCAGCAUUUGCUGAACAGGAUGAACUUUGCUUGAAAGCCGUAUGCGCUCUCUACCGAAAGCAAACUGAGGAAGAACAGUCAAUAAAAGCCAGCAUGGUGCAUAACGGACAAGGAUUUAGCCAGAUGGAUGCUGUUAGGGGAUCUCACAUAGCAGAGUUUCUUCUGGAUGGUGAUGCUCUUGGACCACCUAGGAAAACUGUCGAUGAUUUGGAAAAAUACAACAAAUAUGCUCUCAAGUUCUGUCAGAAGAUCGCUAGGCAUUACUCAAAACAGCUUUUUGCGAUAUAUCAGAACAAGGAGGACCCCUACUUUCCCUGA
rnacentral:rRNA from 1 species